rnacentral:rRNA from 1 species
GCCGGGGGGGUCCUUUGGGGCCCAACCUCCCAUCCGUGUCUAUUGUACCCUGUUGCUUCGGCGGGCCCGCCGCUUGUCGGCCGCCGGGGGGGCGCCUCUGCCCCCCGGGCCCGUGCCCGCCGGAGACCCCAACACGAACACUGUCUGAAAGCGUGCAGUCUGAGUUGAUUGAAUGCAAUCAGUUAAAACUUUCAACAAUGGAUCUCUUGGUUCCGGCAUCGAUGAAGAACGCAGCGAAAUGCGAUAACUAAUGUGAAUUGCAGAAUUCAGUGAAUCAUCGAGUCUUUGAACGCACAUUGCGCCCCCUGGUAUUCCGGGGGGCAUGCCUGUCCGAGCGUCAUUGCUGCCCUCAAGCCCGGCUUGUGUGUUGGGUCGCCGUCCCCCUCUCCGGGGGGACGGGCCCGAAAGGCAGCGGCGGCACCGCGUCCGAUCCUCGAGCGUAUGGGGCUUUGUCACAUGCUCUGUAGGAUUGGCCGGCGCCUGCCGACGUUUUCCAACCAUUCUUUCCAGGUUGACCUCGGAUCAGGUAGGGAUACCCGCUGAACUUAAGCAUAUCAAUAGGCGGGAGGAAUU